rnacentral:lncRNA from 1 species
AUCAGGAUUUUUACAUGGCAGCGUCCAAUCCAAUCCAUGAUGUCCCCUGGUGGCCCCGGUGAGUGAUACGCGUCCACUAACCACGAUAGGACGGCCGGGACCGGUCGUUUGCAUCGGCAGGUGGCGGGCAGCCGGGCGCCGUGACCGAAGGAUAUCAGAGGAUAUUCCUGGGAUUAUCCUUGCCGACACUGCCCCUGAAUAGUGAAUACCA